rnacentral:rRNA from 1 species
AUUGAACGCUGGCGGCAGGCUUAACACAUGCAAGUCGAGCGAGCGGCGGACGGGUGAGUAAUGUCUGGGAAACUGCCUGAUGGAGGGGGAUAACUACGGGAAACGGUAGCUAAUACCGCAUACCAUCGGAUGUGCCCAGAUGGGAUUAGCUAGUGGGUGGGGUAAUGGCUCACCUAGCCGACGAUCCCUAGCUGGUCUGAGAGGAUGACCAGCCACACUGGGACUGAGACACGGCCCAGACUCCUACGGGAGGCAGCAGUGGGGAAUAUUGCGCAAUGGGGGCAAGCCUGAUGCAGCCAUGCCGCGUGUGUGAAGAAGGCCUUCGGGUUGUAAAGUACUUUCGGUGGGGAGGCGUUACCUGCAGAAGAAGCACCGGCUAACUCCGUGCCAGCCGCCGCGGUAAUUC